UCCUCUCCUCGCAGCCUGCCUCGCGAUUUCUUCCUCCCCUGCUCGCCCCCCGCGCGGCCACCACACCAUGAGCUCGGCCCGGCGCCGCCGAUGGAGCGACGAGGCGCGGGAGAGGCGCCGCUGCUGGAGCGCAGCGCGCGGGAGCGGCGCGCCGGUCGAGGCGUAGGAGAGGCACCGGUGAUGGAGCGCAGCGCCGCGGGAGCAGCGCGCCGGUGGAGCGACGACGUCGAGCGAGCUGAGUAGUGAGCGGGAGCGGCGCCGCCCGUGGACACAGCAGCCUAUUGCUGCAGCCAAUCGGAGAGGCAAAGGGAAGCAUCCCUCCAUGGAUGAGGAGGCGGAGCUUGAUGUGGAUCGCCGGGGGCAGCGCCGCGCCGCCGCCAGGGAUGGGAGGAAGGGGAGGAGGCAGAGAACGAGGAGACAUCGAGAAGAGGGGUGUUUUGAUCUCCUUAUUCCUCCAAUGGAUGGGGAACAAGCAGUACGAUUGCCUCAAUUUCGAGUCAGCUCAGCCGCCAUGAAGGAGGAGGAUGUGCUCCACCUCAUCUCCAUCCUCACGGCUUUGCCACCGGAUUGGUGCCGAUCUCCGUGUCCCCUGCAAGGGGAUCCCAACCUUUCCAUCUCUCCUAUCAAUUUCUCGGUUUCUCUCUAGCAGAUUGCUGCUAUAUGGAAGUUGCUUGAGAUUCCGUGUCACGGUUUGAUUGUCCAUCCUGGCUUUUAUAGUGUCAUGCGGAGAAGGAGUGGUGAAGAGAGGCUUCACGGAAGACAUCUAUUGCCUUGAAGAGCAACACCCAACCUUCUGCAACAAGAUUGAAGUUAUAGGGCGGUUAGCCACGUUGUUCAUACCUUCGUCACCACCAUCACCUCCUGCCCAGCUGUCUUGAGACUGAAUAUAGGUCGACCGGGUCUUAUUGUACUGCAUUCUCACUUUGCACCACCGUGUCGACCAAAGAGACAACCAAAUAUUGAAGCGCAUACAUUAUACUGUACCAGACAAUGCAAAGGUGUGAAGUUCCUUUGUGCUCAACGGCAACACAGAACUUCUAGGCCUGACUUGUCAUUCUUCCUGCAGCAUGGUUGAGCGUGUCAUCGUUUGUGUGGAUCUUCUCGUUUGUUGUUAACGAGCAGCAGUGCACGACGAGACAAUUCAAAUUCUGGAACUACAAAGAUACUAUUCAAGAAAUACGGGAAUACAAAGCAAGAGGAUGUGCUCAACUUUUCUCUGACUUAUUAUGUUUACAUGUAUGAUUGCUGGACUACCGGUAUGGCUCGUAUUCUUUAAUUUUUCAAGGUAAACUACCGGUCUUCGUCAUCGACUGCAAGGGGAGAGCAGCUUAAUUAUUGAGUACGUCAGAGAUAUCGGAGUGAAGACAAUCAUUCCAGAUGUUACUUGAAGCAUUGAUGUGUUCUCAUGCCAGCCGUUCAGACUGCACCCAUUUGCUUGCACAAUACAGUACACUUAUGGUGAAAUUUGGAAAACGCAGCUUCAGAGGAUGUGCAGAUUCAAGCAAAGCCAGUGCUCGCCGUCACCAAGGUGUUGCGGUGUUCCGCGGUCGUCCGCGUCUCUGAGGAUGAUAUGUUGCCAGGCUAUGCGAUGGAGACACUACCGGAGGAGGACAUCAUAUCCUAGCAACAACAGCCUAGGACGAGAUCCAUUUCGCCUGCAACGAAGUUUUGGUAGACCGUCCUGUCUAGGUAGGCGGCCGCGACAUCCUGACGAACUUGACUAGCAUGUGUAGGUGAAUACAAAAUUGAGAAAUAAGUGAACGGCAAAUUGUUGGUGAAUGUAAAUUUCUGAAAGGAAAUAAUUAGUUUUAUGUU